UUUCCGUAGGUGAACCUGCGGAAGGAUCAUUAAAGAGUAAGGGUCUCAGGCCCGAACCUCCAACCCUCUGUUGUUAUAACUACUUCGUAGCUUUGGCGGGACCGCGAAGGUUCUCCCGAGCGCGCCAGUCUCCGGACAGGCGAGCGCCCGCCAGAGUCUAACCAAACUCUUGUUUUAAACCAGUCGUCUGAGUAUAAAAUUUUAAUUAAAUUAAAACUUUCAACAACGGAUCUCUUGGUUCUCGCAUUGAUGAAGAACGCAGC
rnacentral:misc_RNA from 1 species